rnacentral:tRNA from 1 species
UAGCGAGGUGGCUGAGUUAGUAGGCGAUAGAUUGUAAAUCUAUUAACGAAAUUUAUUUCUCUCGCUAA